AGCGGCGGACGGGUUAGUAACGCGUGGGAACGUGCCCUUCUCUACGGAAUAGCCUCUGGAAACGGAGAGUAAUACCGUAUACGCCCUUUGGGGGAAAGAUUUAUCGGAGAAGGAUCGGCCCGCGUUAGAUUAGGUAGUUGGUGGGGUAACGGCCUACCAAGCCUACGAUCUAUAGCUGGUUUUAGAGGAUGAUCAGCAACACUGGGACUGAGACACGGCCCAGACUCCUACGGGAGGCAGCAGUGGGGAAUCUUAGACAAUGGGGGCAACCCUGAUCUAGCCAUGCCGCGUGAGUGAUGAAGGCCUUAGGGUCGUAAAGCUCUUUCGCCUGUGAUGAUAAUGACAGUAGCAGGUAAAGAAACCCCGGCUAACUCCGUGCCAGCAGCCGCGGUAAUACGGAGGGGGUUAGCGUUGUUCGGAAUUACUGGGCGUAAAGCGCGCGUAGGCGGAUUAGAAAGUUGGGGGUGAAAUCCCGGGGCUCAACCUCGGAACUGCCUCCAAAACUGCUAGUCUAGAGUUCGAGAGAGGUGAGUGGAAUUCCGAGUGUAGAGGUGAAAUUCGUAGAUAUUCGGAGGAACACCAGUGGCGAAGGCGGCUCACUGGCUCGAUACUGUCGCUGAGGUGCGAAAGUGUGGGGAGCAAACAGGAUUAGAUACCCUGGUAGUCCACACCGUAAACGAUGAAUGCCAGUCGUCGGGUAGUAUACUAUUCGGUGACACACCUAACGGAUUAAGCAUUCCGCCUGGGGAGUAC
rnacentral:rRNA from 1 species